AGCAGAACCUGUGAGUGAUAGAAUUGGAUAUUUAGCUAGAGAGAUUUCUAAACAAAGUGUUCAAGGAGUAUCUUGGUUCCUCUUGACUCCUUAUAGUGAAAUGAGAGGAGAGGGAAAUGAAUCGCAGAUGAGAUUGUUAAGCAAAAAGGAACCAGAACUUAAAGAUGUUGAAAAUUCUCAGCCUAUCUAUGUUGUAAAAAUGAGAAGGUAUGUCCACAAGAGAACACUAAGGGGGUAACUGACCAACAUUUUGAUAAGUUGAUAAGUGAUGGUAUGAACCAUGAACCUAAUCAGCUAUCUCAGCAGAGGCCAGGAAUAGAGAUGGGUUUAUACAGCAAAGAUACAGCCAAUUUGAAGGGACAGAGAGAGUGGAAUCACAGCCAAUUUGAAUUAAAAGGGACAGAGAGAGUGGAAUAAAUGGAAAUAAAGGAAGACUUUCAAAUUUCUUUGCUUCUACAGGACAGAAUGAUAAAACUAUUCAGCUGUAAAUUUGUACUAUUCUUCAAAAAAAUAAAUAAAAAGAAGAAGAAAAAGAAUUGCCCAAAGGCAAUUCAGAGAGCAUCAAGUUUUGACAGAGCAGAGCUCCAACAGAAGCCUGGCCCAGUGGGGGCAGGGAUUUCUGAAGCUUCAGGGGUAUGAUCCUUUUCUGGUAGGGAACUAAGAUACCAAUUUACCAUCUAGCAUUGUAUUACUGAGGAACUCCUCUUUCUAAAGAAGCAAAAGCAAAGCAAAACUCCCUUUGAGAAGAAGCAGAAUUUUUCUAAACUAAUGAAAAACUUUUAAAAUUAGAUUUAUAUCAGCUCAAAGAAUGUAGCAAAAGUAAUUGUUCCUUUAUGGAAAUCACUCUUCUAUUGAUGUCUUCUUAGGCAAUUUUUUCUGCUUCCACUGAAUUGCAGUCAAUUACUCCCUGGUCUCUGAGCACUGCUAAUAGGUAGGGAAAAACUGAAGAAUGGAUAUAAGGAGGAAACUGAAGUCAUAAAUAUGCCAACUGAAUGUAAGCAGCAUUAAUUACAGGCACUCGUAGAUGACAGAAUAUUAAAACUCCAAGCUGCUAGAGUUUUAACCUACAUUCACUUUUGCAUUAAAAUAUUUCACCAUGUACUUUGGCAAGAUCUGUAUCACCUUACUCUGAAGGUAUCUAGAGUUGGAAUAUCAGACUUGAGAGUCCGACUCUCAACCCUCUCAUAUAUUGUGUUCUGUUGGGAGGUUUCCAUUUCUCACACAGUCUGCUCACCAAAUGGCAAGAGAUGGUUAAACUGAUAUUUUCUUAAGCUUUUACGUUCUCCUGGAAGUGGUCAUUAUAGAUUUAUAUCAUACUGCACUUACGGUAUAAAACAUAUAGAACGAAUGAUUUGUUUCACCUAAGUCAAACUUUAGGUGGGUAGUCCUCAUUGUAUAAGAAUUCUUGAGGAUGACAUAAUUCAGAGGGUAGAGGGAGUAGAAAUCACAUGAGCUUGAUUGAUAUUCAGAAAGACAAGAGCUUUGUCGUUUGUCAUUGUAUGAAAACGUCAGAUUCCUCACCUGUAGAAUUGAGAUACUGUCUCCCUCACAGGAUUGUCAUCAGAAUUAAAAAAUAGAGUAAAUGUAUUGAGCAUUGAGGCCAGCCCUAAGAGCUCAAUAAAUGUUAAUUUUCUCCUCAGCUUUUCUAAAAUUUUGCAUUAAUUCACAGAAUUUUACAACUAUAAAGCUGAAAAGAACUUUGGACAUCUUUGUAACACUUAUUACUGGUGUGGAAAUAGGGUAGGAGAUAUUGAGUUGGUCAUGUUCAUAUAGAAGAUGGCUUAAAGCCCCACUUCUUAUUCCUUCCUAAUAUUCAGCUAAAGACUGAUGGCUUUCUGCUUUUCUUCUUGUUGUUUAAUAAAAGGGUACAAAGGAAGUGCGGAAGUUAAACCUCUCCCCAACACACAGGCAGUAAAAGACCUUCUGUACUAGGGACACAAACAAAACCAACAGAAAACAACAAACAAACAACAACAACAACAA
rnacentral:lncRNA from 1 species